UCGAACGGAGCUAGACGCUGAUGAAUAGCUUGCUAGGAAUCUUGCUUAGCUUAGUGGCGGACGGGUGAGUAACGCGUGAGCAACCUGCCUUUCAGAGGGGGAUAACGUUUGGAAACGAACGCUAAUACCGCAUGAUAUUAAAGGGCUGCAUGGCCUGAUAAUCAAAGGAGCAAUCCGCUGAAAGAUGGGCUCGCGUCCGAUUAGGUAGUUGGUGAGGUAACGGCCCACCAAGCCGACGAUCGGUAGCCGGACUGAGAGGUUGAACGGCCACAUUGGGACUGAGACACGGCCCAGACUCCUACGGGAGGCAGCAGUGAGGGAUAUUGGUCAAUGGGGGAAACCCUGAACCAGCAACGCCGCGUGAGGGAAGACGGUUUUCGGAUUGUAAACCUCUGUCCUCUGUGAAGAUGACGACGGUAGCAGAGGAGGAAGCUCCGGCUAACUACGUGCCAGCAGCCGCGGUAAUACGUAGGGAGCAAGCGUUGUCCGGAUUUACUGGGUGUAAAGGGUGCGUAGGCGGCUUAGCAAGUCAGAAGUGAAAUCCAUGGGCUUAACCCAUGAACUGCUUUUGAAACUGUUGAGCUUGAGUGGAGUAGAGGUAGGCGGAAUUCCCGGUGUAGCGGUGAAAU
rnacentral:rRNA from 1 species